rnacentral:lncRNA from 1 species
AUAUAUAUUAAGACAUUGUUUUGUUAUGUAAGAGCUGUAAUAGAAAACUUAACUUUGUAAAUCGUCUUUCUCAGACAAAAUCAUCAUCGAAUCAUUAUCUGAAAACAGUUUAGGAACAAGUUAAAUAUCAACACUUUUCAGGAAACAAAAUCUACUGUCUAAAUCUAUACAAAAUCAAAUUAUAGCUUAUAUUAACUCCAACGAAUAGAAGAUUUUGAUAAUAGAUUGAGUUACCCGGUUAAACACAAAAAUUAUAGACAAUCAAUUUCGGAUCUAAACAACAAAUAUAAUUGAAAAUACUUACUCAUGCAAGUUCGUAUAAUCACAGUGAUAGUCCAAGAUCUCUGUUGAAACAUAGAAUUACAAAGAUUGUAAAAUGAAUCGACAGAUUAUAAAAAUAGAUUGAUUGAAGAAGAAUCUCUAAAAACCUUACCUCUUUGAAGAAAUACCGAAUCUUAUAUGGAAAUUUGAUAUACGGAGACGUACUCGAUUGAUUAUCUAAACUUUUGACAUUGUUUGAGAAAUCGAAAAAUCUUCUGAGUUUUAGGGUUGCAUUACUUUGAAGAGGAUAAGA